GCCGCCCCGCCGCUCAGCUUGCCGGAGCCGCCCGCCGCACCCCCUUGGCCACGGGAGCCGCGUGCCGCCGAGCCGUUCCUCCACGACCACCACAACCAAGGCAGGGAGCGCUGCUCCAACCUCCUCUGCUAUGACUCCAAGUCUGACGACGCCCGCGACCAGGCGUGCUCCCCUCCAUGAGAUUUCAGGAUAGAAAGGGAGCUUUGGAGAGGGAUCGCAAAGAUCAAGGCUAUUGUGUCAAGUACUGUGCUCAAAACGUCCAUUGGGUGCAUCCAUCUCGCCCCAGUUCAUCACCAACCACCGUGCAAUUUACAUCCACUGCGAUCAUGGAUGACCCCGUGAGACAUUGUCGUCAGUCCUAUUCUUCUAGAUACAAUGGGUCAGCUAAUACGCCAUUACUAUUUCUCCAAUAUUGUUCAUGAUCUCUUCGCCGCCCCUUGAUGCCGGGCUUGGAGCUCACCUGGCCCACAUGGCCCCGCCGCCUCUCCCACGCCGUGUCUGCCCAGCAGUCGCACUAGGCCAAGAUGAGGACAAAGUCAAACCCCAGACAGCGUAGGGACUGAAGCAACAAUCUGUUCAUUUCGGACACUUGGGCCCAGAAAUUAGGAGUUGAGGUUUGCCUCAUUGAGAAGUACUGGCCGGGAGUUCACCUUCACAAUCAACCAGUGAUCCCUUGUACUACUUGAGGGAUCAAGCCGAGAUUUGGCUGUCGGCUGUCGGCUUUUCCUAUAGGGACAAAGCUCAACUGUUGAAUGUUGAUGGUGAAUCGAAGAUAGUGCUUAUUCCAGUUGUAGUUGCGAGUAAUAUGGAUGAAGAACUGAGAGCAGCGUUUGGUCAAACGAUUCAGGUAGGAAACUGGUUUUCGCAAAUGCCCAAAUCGUGGUAAAGGUAGUAAAGGUAAGUUAAGAGUCUUUUGGUUACAUACAGAAUAAAGACUAUAUUUAUGGUGAGUGAUGCGGGAAUUAUUAUGAAUGUGAUACAGAUUCAGGCAUAACCUUUGAUUGGCUACAAUUUAUGUCGAAGAUACAAUGCAGAAGCAUGAUAUGAAUGUGUGCCAACUCAACAAGACUAAAUGUUGCUCUAUGAAUCAUUGUUUAAAGUGAUUCAGUAUCAGUUCAUAUCUUAAGAUCAUUGCACCAUCAAGCAUCUUCCUCGUAGCAUGGGCUGUGGCCAUUUUCUAUAGAAAAAUUAUAGUAACCAUGCAUUUAUGUUUCUGUAGUUUGAUUUUAGCAUUUGUUUCAAUGAAUUUGAAGGUACUGGCACAGCGGAGUUAUUGUGGUAUAUGCCAGCAUGUUUGACGCUGUCACACGAGCUGUUGAUAACUCGAUAUGCUAUGAGUUGUCCUUCUGAUGAAGAACUUUUUACUUACAUCUCAAUUUUCAUUGUGUCUGGAGGAUAAAUACUAAUACUAUCUCCUUUGAUCUUUUGGCUGUCCCUCGGGCCAUGAAUGUUCCUACUGGGGUGAAGGAGAACAUUCAGCUCAUGAGGGGGCUUCACAUGGUCGCCGAUAUCCAAUGCCUUGAUUGUCGUGAGGCGCUCGUGUGGAAGUGCAAGAUGGACUACGAGGAAUUA